CUUGCAGGGUACUCGAGUGGCGAACGGGUGAGUAACACGUGGGUGAUCUGCCCUGCACUUCGGGAUAAGCCUGGGAAACUGGGUCUAAUACCGGAUAGGAGCCAUUUUUAGUGUGAUGGUUGGAAAGUUUUUUCGGUGUAGGAUGAGCCCGCGGCCUACCAGCUUGUUGGUGGGGUAAUGGCCUACCAAGGCGGCGACGGGUAGCCGGCCUGAGAGGGUGGACGGCCACAUUGGGACUGAGAUACGACCCAG
rnacentral:rRNA from 1 species